GACUCAAGCUCUAGGAACCAAAAGAGAAAUGAUCACGUAAAUUGAUGGAGGGCCUGUUUACAUUCCUAAUUAUUCGAUCCAAGCUCUUAUACCCUGAAUUAAGAGUGUAAGCUGUAUUGUGUUGGAAAUCACACAAGCACUGUUUCUCCAUCUGGAACUUUGUCAUAGCUAUAGAUCUGCUGCUUUUCAUGUAUAUCUGUACGUGAGCCAUUCUAAGUACCCAGCAAACUCUGAAUGUAACUACCAGUGUAGAUAAAAUUUUUUGUUUGUCUUUUGGAAAAUUGAAGUAAGGACUAAUUUUAUUUUUGCAUACCAUAAAGUAGGUAUAAGAGUAAAUCAUACAACAUUUCGUGAAAUGAGAUGCAAAUUAUGAAAUUGGGAUAGUAUUAGAUACUUGCUUUCAAGGAUAUUAAGGACAAGUAGGAGAAUGUAAAGCAUUUUGAACUUUUAGAGUCACUGUCUAGGUAUUGAGCCAAUGGGAUUGUUUUCCUGGCAAACUCUUUCUCCUUUCUAAAAUUAACUUUCCUUAAGGAAAAAUAGUGCAGAGACACCCGAUUCAGCCAACCAAGUCCAGGAAAUACUGUGUUUGAAUUUUAAAAAUGACCUUAAUCCAUCCCUAUAGAUCUGGUGUUUGUAGUCCAUGACGAAAAAUAUGCAGAAAUAGUCAUUGCUUGCUGACCUUUUCAAAGCUUUGGCUUAAUGAGGGAAGUUGGGGGGCAGAGUACAACAUUAUGUUAUGAAUUUUGUUGGCUUAGGCAAAACUAUUAUUAUGGUCCUACGGUUUUUGUGUGUAUGCUGGGUCUGGGACUUACAUAAUUAUGUAUACAUAUGUAACACAUGUUUUUAAUAGGAAUGAAAACCCACAAUAUUUUUUGUUUGUGGCACAAAGCUGUAAGCAUUAGGUUUUGAUUACUUUUUCAUGGAAAUUUUAAUAUGACAGAACUAAAAACUUCAAGGAAAUAAUUCCAUAAGGAUCUAUUUGGAACCGAAGGCCUUUUUAAGAAAAGAUAUUUGAAGUCCUUACUCUGUGUGCUUAGCAUCCGCCGAGCAAUUCUUUGUGAGCGAGUGAGGGUGGCGGAACCAAUUCUGGCAGCUCAGACAGUGGAUGAUUAGACCCUGCCACUCUUCUCCAGAGCUUUAAUUUGGGCUGUAACUUGAUGCUUCACUGAUCCCACACUCUCCCUGCCACGCUAGCUCACAGAGGAAUUGCUGGCACUCUGGACUGAAUUUUUUUCCCCUCCCAUCAAUUAGAACAUGUUUGCAUUGGUUGCAGAAUGCAGUUACAUUUUUAGCUCAGUAUUCUAAGAAAUACCUUUAGCUACAAAGAGAGUAGGCUUAGGGCCGCCUAGAUCACCAUUUGCCUUAUUUAAUUGUGCUGUGUUAAUUUCCCAAUGAUUCAGCUAUAUAGAAAUAAUACAGUCUUAAAAUUGGAGGGCAUUUUAGAAGUCAUCUAGAGUCUAAUCAUUUCUUUCUCUAGAUGAAUUUUGACGCAAUCAUAGCCAUAGUCUAAACUUGGAGAAUAGACAUUAAAUUUCAUAUUCUUUUCAUAGACAUUAAAUUGUAUAGUUUUUCUUGUAAUGAAGAUUUUGCUCAUUUGAGAUGAAUUUCUAUACAAGUUCAAUGAUGUAGGAAUGGCAGCAAAGCAUAUUGCAAAUCUCAGCCAGAUUUCCAGUGACAUAUAAAGUGUGAUCUUCAGGGUGAUGUAGGUCAUUUACAAAGGCAGCAAACUAUUGUAAACUAGCAUCCUAUGUUUUUGUCACUGAGUUCCCAUCGUGGCGCAGUGGUUAACGAAUCCGACUUGGAACCAUGAGGUUGCGGGUUCGGUCCCUGCCCUUGCUCAGUGGGUUAACGAUCCGGCGUUGCCGUGAGCUGUGGUGUAGGUUGCAGACGCAGCUCGGAUCCCGCGUUGCUGUGGCUCUGGCGUAGGCUGGCGGCUACAGCUCCCAUUCGACCCCUAGCCUGGGAACCUCCAUAUGUCAUGGAGCGGCCCUAGAAAAGGCAAAAAG
ensembl:lncRNA